UACGUAGGGUGCGAGCGUUAAUCGGAAUUACUGGGCGUAAAGCGUGCGCAGGCGGUUUUGUAAGCCAGAUGUGAAAUCCCCGGGCUCAACCUGGGAAUGGCAUUUGGGACUGCAAGGCUCGAGUGCGGCAGAGGAGACUGGAAUUCCUGGUGUAGCAGUGAAAUGCGUAGAUAUCAGAAGGAACAUCAGUGGCGAAGGCGGCUUCCUGGACCAAUACUGACGAUCAGGUGCGAAAGCGUGGGGAGCAAACAGG
rnacentral:rRNA from 1 species